rnacentral:misc_RNA from 1 species
AACCUAGCACACCUGCGGUGUGUACCUGCGGAGGGAUCAUUACCGAGUUUACAACUCCCAAACCCCUGUGAACAUACCUAUACGUUGCCUCGGCGGAUCAGCCCGCGCCCUGUAAAAAGGGACGGCCCGCCCGAGGACCCUAAACUCUGUUUUUAGUGGAACUUCUGAGUAAAACAAACAAAUAAAUCAAAACUUUCAGCAACGGAUCU